GGUAGGUUUAGACCCCUUUGUGCAUAUAUAUGUGUAUAUGCUAGAUUGGGAGUAGUUGAUAUGCAUGUUGGUAGGUUUUUGGGCAAAGUUUGCAUGAAACAGAGCAGGGUUCUGUCCUUCGGGCAAAACCAGGUUCGGCCGCCGAACCCCUUGUGGAGGCAGUUCGGCUGCCAAAGGUUGCCCCCGAAAGCUAGGCUUUCGGUUUAGAAAGAGACUUUCG
rnacentral:lncRNA from 1 species